rnacentral:rRNA from 1 species
AUACGUAGGUGCCAAGCGUUAUCCGGAUUUACUGGGCGUAAAGGGCGUGUAGGCGGUCUUGCAAGUCAGAAGUGAAAUUCCUGAGCUCAACUCGGGCGCUGCUUCUGAAACUGCAGGACUUGAGUGCUGGAGGGGAUAGCGGAAUUCCCAGUGUAGCGGUGAAAUGCGUAGAGAUUGGGAGGAACACCAGUGGCGAAGGCGACUUACUGGGCCGUAACUGACGCUGAGGCGCGAAAGCGUGGGGAGCGAACAGGAUUAGAUACCCUGGUAGUCCACGCGGUAAACGAUGAAUGCUAGGUGUUGCGGGUAUCGACCCCUGCAGUGCCGGAGUAAACACAAUAAGCAUUCCGCCUGGGGAGUACGGCCGCAAGUAUGAAACUCAAAGGAAUUGACGGGG